GAUGAACGCUGGCGGCGUGCCUAAUACAUGCAAGUCGAGCGAACGGACGAGAAGCUUGCUUCUCUGAUGUUAGCGGCGGACGGGUGAGUAACACGUGGAUAACCUACCUAUAAGACUGGGAUAACUUCGGGAAACCGGAGCUAAUACCGGAUAAUAUUUUGAACCACAUGGUUCAAAAGUGAAAGACGGUCUUGCUGUCACUUAUAGAUGGAUCCGCGCUGCAUUAGCUAGUUGGUAAGGUAACGGCUUAACAAGGCAACGAUGCAUAGCCGACCUGAGAGGGUGGUCGGCCACCCUGGAAGUGAGACACGGCACAGACUCCUACGGUAGGCAGCAGUAGGGAAUCUUCCGCGAUGGGCGAAAGCCUGACGGAGCAACGCCGCGUGAGUGAUGAAGGUCUUCGGAUCGUAAAACUCUGUUAUUAGGGAAGAACAUAUGUGUAAGUAACUGUGCACAUCUUGACGGUACCUAAUCAGAAAGCCACGGCUAACUACGUG
rnacentral:rRNA from 1 species